rnacentral:lncRNA from 1 species
GCCCAGCAGGAGCGUCGGGGCUCAGGGCCAGGCGUCUGGCUGUGAGCAAAUCCCACGACAGCCGGGACCCCUGCGGCCUAAGGGAUCUGAGGCUCGGGCCGUGCCCCGCUCCGCACCUUGCCCUGCUCCUCUGGAAAUUCUGCGACUUUGUCCGUCGAUUCCCACAGGCUCUCCUGAGCUUGCUGCCGUCUCCUCUCCAAACCCCACGGCAAGAGUCGGCCUUGGGGCCACCCGGUUCCCUGGACCCACGCGCCCAGCCGUGGGGACGCAGGAAGUGGACGACAAGGGCCAGCCCGAGUGCUGGCCUCGCCCUCUGCCAGAGGUCAUCCUUUGAAGGUUCACACCAUGGGAAGAAAUAGGAUAUUUUGAGGACCAGACCUACAAAUCACUUCCGCCCAAGUCGCACUGGCCAAAGCUGGGUCGCGUAGCUCUCCUCUACUUGCACAACUGGCUGCAAAAUGUAGAGGACGGAUGUUUGUCAAACAGUGACAAUCUCGAUCACUUUCCUCGUCCAAAAUGCCUUCUCCUCCCCGAAAGCCACCUUCUAGACCAGCUCUGCUGUCCCCUUACGAGCACAUACAUCACGGGACCUGUCAUGGGUUUCUGUGGGACCAGUUGACACAGCUCAGAGCAGCAGCUGCUGGAUGGCUUUGGGGAGCCUGGCUCAAGAAACAGUUGCUGGGGUACGGGGACCACAAGCAUCCUGCCAGAGACUGACAUCCUGUUGUGCUCUCCUGCCACUGCCCUCAGUAAGUCACGAUGAGGAGUAAACUGCUGUCACCGAGAUGAAAGGCCCCCUUCCUCUGAUCUGUCCACUACAAAAUUACUUCAGUGCCAC